GAAAUGCUACCAUUUUUAUUUAAAAAAUGUCUAGUUUUUGGUAUUGUGUGACAGAUUUGAUAGCAAAACAAAUUUGCCAUAUAUCAUCUAGGCAAUCUUCAACUAUGUGUAUUCUUUUUUGUUACAUUUCCCUUCCUACAUUACUCUAUUGUUGAAAUAUUCUUCUGUCGAUGUACAGGAGGAUUUGCUACCUUAAUGCGGUCAGCGCGGUAUUCGUUUAAUUAUGUGUGUAAUAAAAUCUGGAACGAAUUUAGCGGGCUUUAUCGCUAUCUCACCGUCAUGGAAGAAUUGAUGUUCAGAAGUACAAUUUGUACAUUUGUAAGAAUGUGGUAGAGUGUUAUUGUUUUAUCAUCAAAAGGAUUGCACUUAAACUGAGCAAAAAGUUAUGCGAUCAUCAGAUGCAAAUUUAAGAUAUGUGAAACAAACAAAACAAAACAACAGACGUGAUAGACGAAAUCAACAAGAUAUCACACAGUACCUGGAUUUAAGAAUUUGAACGAUAAUUUUAUUGAUUGUCUGACAACUUUCAUUUAAUUAUGCUUUGCUUAUUUAUUUAUUUUUGUUGUUUUAUUUUUAUCAAUUAACAAAUAUAUAUUGAACAAUAGAUUCCACAUGUAUGGUACCAUGUACGAAUUAAAAAUAAAAAAUAAGAGAGGA